CCUACGGGAGGCAGCAGUAGGGAAUCUUUCACAAUGGGCGAAAGCCUGAUGGAGCAACGCCGCGUGCAGGAUGAAGGCCUUCGGGUUGUAAACUGCUUUUAUAAGCGAGAAAUAUGAUGGUAACUUAUGAAUAAGGAUCGGCUAACUACGUGCCAGCAGCCGCGGUCAUACGUAGGAUCCGAGCAUUAUCCGGAGUGACUGGGUGUAAAGAGUUGCGUAGGUGGCAUAAUAAGUAGCUAGUGAAAUCUGGUGGCUCAACCAUUCAGACUAUUAGCUAAACUGUUAAGCUCGAGAGCGUUAGAGGUAACUGGAAUUUCGAGUGUAGGAGUGAAAUCCGUAGAUAUUAGAAGGAACACCAAUAGCGUAGGCAGGUUACUGGGACGGUUCUGACACUAAGGCACGAAAGCGUAGGGAGCAAACGGGAUUAGAUACCCUAGUAGUC
rnacentral:rRNA from 1 species